AGUCUUAUAUUCAUUAAUGAUUUUAAAUUGCAAAUUUAAAGGUGAUUUUAUUCUAAGGCUU
rnacentral:tRNA from 1 species